rfam:Bellilinea caldifistulae strain GOMI-1 contig_9, whole genome shotgun sequence.
UGCGGAAGCUACUAAGAGCUUACGGUGGAUGCCUUGGCGCCAAGUGCCGAUGAAGGACGUGGGUCACUGCGAUAAGCCUCGGGGAGCCGUGAACAGGCGUUAUAUCCGGGGAUGUCCGAAUGGGGAAACCCGCCGCUGCGAACCAGCGGCAUCCUGCACUGAACACAUAGGUGCAUGGAGGGGAACCUGGGGAACUGAAACAUCUAAGUACCCAGAGGAAAAGAGAUUAUUCCCUGAGUAGUGGCGAGCGAAAGGGGAACAGCCCAAACCAUCCCGGCUUGCCGGGAUGGGGUUGUAGGGCCAGGCAUAUGGGAGUUACAAAACAAACUGUUAGCAGAAUGGUGUGGGAAAGCCAACCAGAGAGGGUAAUAGUCCCGUACGCGAAAACGGUUUGUCUCCCGUCUGGUACCUGAGUACUGCCGGGCACGCUAAUCCGGCAGGAAGCUGGGGAGUCCACUCUCCAAGGCUAAAUACACUUGGCGACCGAUAGUGAACAAGUACCGUGAGGGAAAGGUGAAAAGUACCCCGGUGAGGGGAGUGAAAUAGAACCUGAAACCGUAAGCUUACAAGCAGUCGAAGGGCUAAUGGUGGGUCGGUGCCCCGGUGAAAGCCGGGUGCGCGCCACUAGGCCUGACGGCGUGCCUCUUGGAGAAUGAGCCUGCGAGUUAAUCUUUGCGGCGAGGUUAAGGGAGUGACACCCGGAGCCGUAGCGAAAGCGAGUCUGAAUAGGGCGCCACAGUCGCAAGGAUUAGACCCGAAACCGGGUGAGCUACCCAUGGCCAGGGUGAAACGAGUCUAACCACUCGUGGAGGCCCGAACCUACUAACGUUGCAAAGUUAGGGGAUGAGCUGUGGGUAGAGGUGAUAUGCCAAACGAACUCGGAGAUAGCUGGUUCUCCCCGAAAUAGCUUUAGGGCUAGCGCCAUGCGUUCAGCACCGGAGGUAGAGCACUGAAUGGGCUAAGGGGCUUAUCGCUUACUGACCCCAAUCAAACUCCGAAUGCCGGUGUUCCACAGCAUGGUGGUCGGACUACGGGUGAUGAGAUUCGUGGUCGAAAGGGAAACAGCCCAGAUCAUCGGCUAAGGUCCCAAAAUUCCAACUAAGUGGGAAACGAUGUGGGGUUACUGAAACAACCAGGAGGUUGGCUUAGAAGCAGCCACCCUUUAAAGAGUGCGUAAUAGCUCACUGGUCUAGUGAUCCUGCGCGGAAAACUUAACGGGGCUAAGUUGGAUACCGAAGCCAUGGGCUUCAGCGUUAGCUGGAGCGGUAGGGGAGCGUUCUGUUCGCGGUGAAGGUUGACCGUGAGGACAGCUGGAGCGGACAGAAGUGAGAAUGCAGGCAUGAGUAGCGUAAAACACGUGAGAACCGUGUUCGCCGUAUGUCUAAGGUUUCCGACGCCAGGUCAAUCCGCGUCGGGUUAGUCGGGCCCUUAGCCGAGGCCGAAAGGCGUAGGCGAUGGACAGCCGGUCAACAUUCCGGCACCGCUUAAGAGGAGUGAUGGAGGGACGCAGCGAGGUAGGCCAGCCUGUGAUUGGUCGUGCAGGUGCAUGGUGUGUCAGGCGUUGAGGUUUGUAGGAAAAUCCGCAAACUGAGCUGAGACACCGUGGCGAGCCUCCAAGGCAUAAGUGAGCUGAGCCUUGCUGCCGAGAAAAGCUUCUAAACGUUGAAUCUUAAGCGCCCGUACCGCAAACCGACACUGGUAGACGGGUAGAAUAUACCAAGGCGAACGGGAGAACCCUCGUUAAGGAACUAGGCAAAUUAGCCCCGUAACUUCGGGAGAAGGGGUGCCUUUCGACGUGAAUGAAUAAUGAGCGUUGAGAGGUCGCAGUGAAAGGGUCCUAGUGACUGGUUACCAAAACCACAGGUCUCUGCAAAGCCGAAAGGCGAUGUAUAGGGGCUGACGCCUGCCCAGUGCCGGAAGGUUAAGGGGAGGGGUUAGCGCAAGCGAAGCUCUGAACCGAAGCCCCGGUGAACGGCGGCCGUAACUAUAACGGUCCUAAGGUUCUUGACGCGAGCCUUAGUAAAACCGAACUAUAUGCGGGAAACUCCUCAUACAGCCACGCAGUACUCGCCUGAACACGGUUCGGGCAGUAAAAAUCUGCUGGACACGGGGACAAUCCGCAGGAAAGGCUUCCAGAAAGGAAAACUUGAAUGGAAGAAUCCUCAGAGACUUUACGUUCGGUCUCGCAAUCGAGACUGGAAGCGCAGUGGGUGGUUGGUUUCGUAGAUGGUGAGGGAUGCUUUUAUGUGGGUAUCAACUCGCAUCCAGAGAUGAAAGCCGGUUUUCAGGUUUUACCGGAAUUCACGGUGGUGCAGCACGAACGAGAUGUUCAGUUGUUGCAUGCGUUGAAGCAGUUCUUUGGAUGUGGAGUGGUACGCCGCAAUCACGGAGAUCGGAUGGCUUAUCGGGUGCGAAAUAUCCAGCACCUGCGGGAACGGAUUAUCCCGUUCUUUGAAAAGCAUCCGCUCAAAUCCAAAAAGCAGGUGGAUUUUAUGAAGUUUCGUAAAAUCCUGCUCUUGAUGGAGCGUGGGGAACAUCUCAAACCGGAAGGAAUCGAACAAAUCCGCGAAAUUGCUUCCAAAAUGAACACUCAGCGAGAAAGAUAAAGUCCGGCUCCUCUGGAAACAGAGUGAGGUCAACCGAGCGAAAUUCCUUGUCGGGUAAGUUCCGACCCGCACGAACGGCGUAACAACUAGGACACUGUCUCAACGAGGGACCCGGCGAAAUUGAAAUGGCUGUGAAGAUGCGGCCUACCCGCAGCAGGACAAAAAGACCCCGUGGAGCUUUACUGCAUCCUGGCAUUGAGUUUGGGCAUCGUCUGUGUAGGAUAGGUGGGAGUCUGAGAAGCUGGGGCGCCAGCCUCGGUGGAGACGCCGGUGAAAUACCACCCUGAUGAUGUUUAGACCCUAACCCCACACCGUGAUCCGGGUGGGGGACCGUGCCAGGUGGGCAGUUUGACUGGGGCGGUCGCCUCCUAAAAGGUAACGGAGGCGCCCAAAGGUUCCCUCAGGGUGAAUGGAAACCACCCAAAGAGUGCAAAGGCAUAAGGGAGCUUGACUGCAAGACCAACGCGUCGAGCAGAGUCGAAAGACGGGCUUAGUGAUCCCACGGUACUGAGUGGAAGGGCCGUGGCUUACCGGAUAAAAGCUACCCCGGGGAUAACAGGCUGGUGAAGUCCAAGAGUUCACAUCGACGACUUCGCUCGGCACCUCGAUGUCGGCUCAUCGCAUCCUGGGGCUGGACAAGGUCCCAAGGGUCGGGCUGUUCGCCCGUUAAAGCGGUACGCGAGCUGGGUUCAGACCGUCGUGAGACAGGUCGGUCUCUAUCCGCUGUGGGCGUAAGGGACUUGAGAGGAGCUGCCCCUAGUACGAGAGGACCGGGGUGGACAGACCUCUGGUGUGCCAGUUGUCGUGCCAACGGCAUCGCUGGGUAGCCAUGUCUGGCAGGGAUAACCGCUGAAAGCAUCUAAGCGGGAAGCUCGCCUCAAGAUUAGGUCCCUGUGUUCCCGUAAAGGGAGUAAGGUCGCAGGUAGACUACCUGCUUGAUAGGCGGCGUGUGUAAGCGCAGUAAUGCGUUGAGCUAAGCCGUACUAAUGACCGAGGGCUUUGCACG